GGGCAUUAUACCUUUCAUUAGUUGCUUCGGCGGGAUUCGCGCCCGCCGCGGACCAAACUUCUGAAUUUAUAAGUAUCUUCUGAGUGGUCAAAUGAAUCAAAACUUUCAACAACGGAUCUAUUGGUUCUGGCAUCGAUGAAGAACGCAGCGGAAUGCGAUAAGUAAUGUGAAUUGCAGAAUUCAGUGAAUCAUCGAAUCUUUGAACGCACAUUGCGCCACGUCAGUAUUCUGGCGGGCAUGCCUGUUCGAGCGUCAUUACGCCCCUCAAGUCCCCUGGUGUACUUGGUGUUGAGUAUCGACGAGGCUGGUUUUCCAGCGCAGCCGUCCCUCAAAUCAAUUUGGCGGUCUCGCCGUGGCCCUCCUCUGCGCAGUAGUAAACACUCGCAACAGGAGCCCGCCGCGUCCACUGCCGUAAAACCCCCAACUUAUAGUUGAACCUCGAAUCACGUAUGUCUACCCGCUGACCUUAGCAUAUCAUAAGGCGGAGGAACCUCACUACAGGCGUGGGUGCCAAACCGUCCCGAUAUGUCAUGCAUGCUACUCCGGUCGUUGUGGGUCAUCAACCAUGAGCGCCAUCGAACUUGAUUCGUCAUCUGCAACCCAGCUCAGCGGAUUACCACUCACUUUAGCAUUACGAUAUCCGAAGAA
rnacentral:rRNA from 1 species